rnacentral:rRNA from 1 species
GACGAACGCUGGCGGCGUGCUUAACACAUGCAAGUCGAACGGUAAGGCCCUUUCGGGGGUACACGAGUGGCGAACGGGUGAGGAACACGUGGGUAAUCGGCCCUGCACUUCGGGAUAAGCCGGGGAAACUGGGUAUAAUACGUGAACUGAGCACUCGACGCAUCGUGGCGGGUGGAAAGUUUUUCGGUGCAGGAUGAGCCCGCGGGCUAUCAGCUUGAGGGGGGGGUAAUGGCCUACCAAGGCGACGACGGGUAGCCGGCCAGAGAGGGUGCUCGGCCACACUGGGACUGAGACACGGCCCAGACUCCUACGGGAGGAAGCAGUGGGGAAUAUUGCACAAUGGGCGGAAGCCUGAUGCAGCGACGCCGCGUGGGGGAUGACGGUCUUCGGAUUGUAAACCCCUUUCAGUAGGGACGAAGCGCAAGUGACGGCACCUGAAUAAGAAGCCACGGCUAACUACGUGCCAGCCGCCGCGAUAA